GUGGGUGGAGCUCAGUGGUAGAGCGCAUGCUUAGCAUGCGUGAGGUCCUGGGUUCAAUCCCCGGUACCUCCA
rnacentral:tRNA from 1 species